UACGAGGGGGGCACGCGUUGUUCGGAAUUAUUGGGCGUAAAGGGCGCGUAGGCGGUGCGGUAAGUCUGAUGUGAAAUCUCCGGGCUCAACUCGGAGUCUGCAUCAGAAACUGCCGUGCUUGAGUGUGGGAGAGGUGAGUGGAAUUCCCGGUGUAGCGGUGAAAUGCGUAGAUAUCAGGAGGAACACCGGUGGCGAAGGCGGGUCUCUGGGCCGUAACUGACGCUGAGGAGCGAAAGCGUGGGGAGCGAACAGG
rnacentral:rRNA from 1 species